GCAAGGAAAAUUUCACCACAGGUCCAUUAAAAUCAGUUUUUAACCACUGUGUCUUCUGCAACUUUAGCAUUCUUCCAAGAAAUGCACAGCUCUUGGCAAGCGCUGCCAAAACAGAGAUCUGGGGCUCAGUAUCCUCAGCAAGCAGCCCAAGACAAGUUCUUUCCAGAAGAUGCAGGCCUUACCCAUCUUGUGGUUUGACCCAUCCUGCGUUUCACCGUAGGCAACACCAAACUGGUGGAGAAAAAUGAAGAUUCAGAAGGCCAGAUACACAGUCGAGAGCAUCCUACCUCAACGGAUCGCAGACUGGGAUGGAAACAGCAAUGCCCAGGAAUGGAAAAGCCUCCAGAAGUUGGUGGAUGCAGCCCAAUCCAGCACAGGCAAAGCCUUUCCCACCAUUGGGCACAUUUACAAGGAGUACUGCCACAGGAAAGCAGCAGCCAGCAUCAAGUUCUGGCACCAUCCAGGUCACGCUCACUUCUCACUACUACCAUUGUGACGAAGGUGCAGAAAACUUGGUUCAGGAACAGUUACUACACCACACCCAUCGGACUCCUGAACCAAUGUGGAUAAUUUCACUCACCUCAGUCAGAACUGAUUCCUUAACCUGCAGACUUCCUUUCAGAGACUCUACACUCAUGUUCGCAGUAUUAUGAUGUUCUUUAUUUGCAAAAUUUGUUCUCUUCUGCUCUUUGGUUGUUUAUCAGUCUUAGUUUAUUAUUAGUUUUUCACUAAUUCUAUUGUAUUUCUCUAUUCCUGUAAAU